GGGUCAGUAGGUUGGUCGUGCCACCGGUACGUACUGGUCUCACUGAUUCCUCCUUCCUGAAGAACCGUAAUGCCAUUAAUUUGGUGUUGCGGGGAAACAGGACUGGUACUUUGAAAAUAUUAGAGUGUUUAAAGCAAGCUAACGCUUGAAUACAUUAGCAUGGAAUAAUGAAAUAGGACGAUCGAUCCUAUUUUGUUGGUUUCUAGGAUUGACGUA
rnacentral:rRNA from 1 species